UACGUAGGAGGCGAGCGUUGUCCGGAGUUACUGGGCGUAAAGGGUGCGCAGGCGGCGGUUCGCGUGGAUAGGUGAAAUCUCCUGGCUUACCUGGGAGGGUGGUAUCCAGACGGGAUCGCUUGAGGGUCGCAGAGGGGCGUGGAAUUCCGGGUGGAGCGGUGAAAUGCGUAGAGAUCCGGAGGAACACCGACGGCGUAGGCAGCGCCCUGGACGACACCUGACGCUGAGGCACGGAAAAGCUGGGGGGAGCGAACAGG
rnacentral:rRNA from 1 species